AAAUGCACUGUAGACAAGCAUUUAUGUUUAAUAGUUACAUUUUUCUGGGAUACUUUUUUAUUGUGUGAUUUCUAUUUUCAGGAAAAUGCACCGGUAACCAAAAAAAAGAAAAAUACCAAAAACAUCAUUCAACAGAAGAUUAUGGCUGCGGUGAAACAAAGCUGCACUCAAAUAAAUGAACCAAGACCUGCCGUGGGAGUGCUGAAGGAUUCAAGUGUACCAAGUCCUUUGUCUCCUCAGCCAUGUAAGAGGUCAGACAUGGCUGAAGAGAUCAAAGAGUUUAAAAAUGAAAUUAAAGAGCUUAAAGAAGAUUUAAAAUAUGAGCGUCGCUUCAGGAUAAAAGCAGAGAGAGAGCUGAGGGAGUGGAAAGGUAAUGAAAUCUAGCUAUAGUGCUGCAAUUGUUCUCAAUUUUGUGAGCUAUCUUCUUCAGUAUAUAUAAUAUCAUAUUAUUUUUGAAUACUCGAUUCUGAUUGGCUGGAAGGUGUGCAUUAAACAAUGAAUGCACAGGUUACAAGUCAGUUGAAUCACUGUUCUAAAUUAAUUUGCUGCUUUUAUUGUAGGACACACACACACACGUUUGUUUUUGUGAAAAGUGGGGACAUCCCAUAGGCGUAAUGGUUUUUAUAAUGUAGAAACUGUAUAUUCUAUCGCCAUUCACUAACCCUAACCCUAACCCUCACAGGAAUAUUUGUGCAUUUUUACUUUCUCAAAAAAACUCAUUCUGUAUGAUUUAUAAGCGUUUUGAAAAAUGUGGACAUGGGUUAUGUCCUCAUAAGUCACCCUCUCCUUGUAAUACCUGUGUCAUACCAAUGUCAUUAUACAGAGUUGUGUCCUGAUAUGUCACAAAAACAUGCCCCCACACACACACACACACUCACACACAGGCAGUCACUCGCAAAAAGAGAUCUUGCAAUGAUCUCACACGCAGAAAUAUCAAAAGUAACCGAAAAGUAACCUGGUCUGUCCUGUCUGUCAGUGAGUGCGUUGUCAGUCUCCUCUCUGCUACGCAAUGUAUUUUUCCUUGCGUAAGAACAUGGAAUGUCAUGAGAGCAGUGUAGCUUGUCAGGCAUAGCGACAGUAACUAAGGGGGGUGGGUCUUUGCGAACUGACAAUUAAAGUGACAGCUUCAUUAGGAAAAUGCUGUGCCUGAUGAAAAGGAACACUCCACUUUUUUUUUUUUUUUUUGGAAAUAGGCUAAUUUUUCAACUCCCCAUUUAUCCUGACCACGACUGUAUUUAUCAAUUCAUAUUAAUAUUUUUCCCAAUUAUUUUAUUUUGAUUUUAGAUUAGAAUCUUGAAUGAAAGACCAAGAGGAUAAAUGGUGCCAAUAGAUGUGGAGGGCACUGUAAAGGUUUUGUGGAUUGUGAACAUGAUUGUG
rnacentral:lncRNA from 1 species